UACAGAGGUCUCAAGCGUUGUUCGGAUUCAUUGGGCGUAAAGGGUGCGUAGGUGGCGCUGUAAGUCGGGUGUGAAAUUUCGGAGCUUAACUCCGAAACUGCACUCGAUACUGCGGUGCUUGAGGACUGGAGAGGAGACUGGAAUUCAUGGUGUAGCAGUGAAAUGCGUAGAGAUCAUGAGGAAGACCAGUGGCGAAGGCGGGUCUCUGGACAGUUCCUGACACUGAGGCACAAAGGCCAGGGGAGCAAACGGG
rnacentral:rRNA from 1 species